AUUCCAUGAUGGGGACAUUCUAGGAUGUAGUCUUGAAAGCGCUCCCAUGCUUCUGGAACAGAUUCAUCAUUUUGUUGCUACUUGUAAUCUUCCCACGGAGAGC
rnacentral:snoRNA from 1 species